ACGGUUGACCGCAAUGGCACCGUCUUUGGCUUAUCGUCGGACGUUUUUCGGUGUCUUAAAAUCUGUGUCGCCGGGUCGCAUCGUUUCCCUCUCAGCCUAACACCCCUCUCUUCUCAGCCCAACCUAAUCUACACAGACCAACACCACCCACCUAGCCUACACCUUCGUUUCGGACCGUCCGAUCGAGAUCCGACGGUUCGAAAAUGAUACAAACCCCACUAACCCUAAAACCUGCCUACUUAAGCCCUUCUUCCCUGCCAAAGAUGGCUAAACCUAACCCAUCUAACUUCCCUUCUUGGAUCCGCGCGCCACCAGCCCCUUACCUGUCACUUGGUGCCGCCACGGGUGACCUAUCCACCCACUAGUGGGCUGCCACGUCGCCCCUGGCGCCAUCCCAUCCCUGCAGCCCGCUGAGCCCACGGAGAGCCCGCACAGGCCCGGAUCCCGCUGCCACUCACAGCCCCCUCGUACUCGUUCCAAUCUCAAUCGAGGGAAGAAUACUUCCGAGACCGAGCCGCUGUCGCGACCCCGCGUCUGUCUGCCGCCUCGCGACCAUCACCGGAGCUCCGGCGAGCCGCUGCCGCCCUUCAGCCUCCGCCGCCCAGAUCGGAGCCGCCACCGUGAAUAGAUCUGUUGCCCUCGGCUCUGUCGAAUCCGUCACUUCCCGGCCGCUCCGGCCACUGACCCGUUCAUAGCUGGUGAGAAGAGGAACGCCAUGGUAGGCAGGGUACUGUUCUGCUUUAGAUUCGUUCUUUCUCAUAUGUGUUUAAGCCAUGCCAGUGUGUUGCUUUCGCAAAUCCGCGCUAGCCCAGCUGGUAGUCAACGCGUGCACAGAACCAAAGGGUGUCGGGUUUGAAUCCGACGCGCCCCAGUUUUCUUUUGUUUUAUGUUCGGUUGUUGAUUCAGAGAAAGUUUUGUUCGGUCCGUGACACGUGCUAGUCCAUCUAGACAAAAAAUUAUUGUUGACCACACUUCUCUCGUAGCCCAACUGGUGAGCUCAAUUGAUUGUAAUCAGGAGGUCAUACGAUCACAUCCUAUGUGGCCCAUCUUAUUCUUUUUGUCCUUGUUUUUUUUUAAAUGCUGUCACACGCGCUUGGACGUCUCUGUAAAUUUCAUAUUAUCCAUCUCUCACAUACGUAUGAAAUGUUUAACA